rnacentral:rRNA from 1 species
UACAGAGGUCUCAAGCGUUGUUCGGAUUCAUUGGGCGUAAAGGGCGCGUAGGCGGAUCUUUAAGUCGGGGGUGAAAGCCCAGGGCUCAACCCUGGAAUUGCCUUCGAUACUGGAGAUCUUGAGACCGGAAGAGGUAAGUGGAACUGCGAGUGUAGAGGUGAAAUUCGUAGAUAUUCGCAAGAACACCAGUGGCGAAGGCGGCUUACUGGUCCGGAUCUGACGCUGAGGCGCGAAAGCGUGGGGAGCAAACAGG